rnacentral:rRNA from 1 species
UACGUAGGGGGCAAGCGUUGUCCGGAAUCAUUGGGCGUAAAGCGCGCGUAGGCGGUCCGGUAAGUCCGCUCUGAAAGCCCGGGGCUCAACCCCGGGAGGCGGGCGGAUACUGUCGGGCUAGAGUCCGGAAGAGGCGAGUGGAAUUCCUGGUGUAGCGGUGAAAUGCGCAGAUAUCAGGAGGAACACCGGUGGCGAAGGCGGGUCUCUGGGCCGAUAUUGACGCUGAGGAGCGAAAGCGUGGGGAGCAAACAGG